rnacentral:rRNA from 1 species
UUUCUUUACGCCGACCUCAGAGCAGUUGAG